rnacentral:lncRNA from 1 species
ACGGGCAGGACGCGCCGCGGUCGGCCAGGAAGGAGACCGGCACCCAGACAGGAAGGAAAAUACCCGUACAGCCAACUUCCUUGAGGGUUCGUUCUUUUGCAUCAGGGUGUCUCAAACUCCUGCCCUUAAAACACCUGCAAGAGAAUCAUCUAGGUGGCUUGCUCGCUCUGCAUGCAGACCCUUUAGAAUCAGAGUCAGAAUACCUGGGGCUGGAGCCACAAAAUGAAAUGACAUUUCAACAAGUUUGUCAUCACGUAAGAGAGAAUAGAUAACUUCACUCUUCUCUGCAACGAAUCCCAAAAGUAUAUAAUUGAGCUGACUGCAAGGUACUUGACACGCAAGAGACUCCACAAAUGGGAUUCAGCCUCUGGAAAGUGGUGGUAGUUCCAGAUUUAUGUGGAUGUUACUUUGUUUUUCCCUAUAAAAUAUAUUAUUUAAACUAUCAAA